UACGUAGGGGGCAAGCGUUGUCCGGAAUUAUUGGGCGUAAAGAGCGUGUAGGCGGUCCGGUAAGUCGGAUGUGAAAGUCCAGGGCUCAACCCUGGGAUGCCGGUCGAUACUGCCGGACUAGAGUUCGGAAGAGGCGAGUGGAAUUCCCGGUGUAGCGGUGAAAUGCGCAGAUAUCGGGGGGAACACCUAUGGCGAAGGCAGCUCGCUGGGACGUUACUGACGCUGAGACGCGAAAGCGUGGGGAGCAAACAGG
rnacentral:rRNA from 1 species